AUGCGCAUGUUGAGAUGGAUGUGUGGCCACACAAGGAAGAAUCGGGUCCGGAAUGAUGAUAUACGGGACAAAGUUGGGGUGGCACCAAUUGAAGAGAAGCUUGUCCAAAAUCGUCUGAGAUGGUUUGGGCAUAUUCAGCGCAGGCCUCUAGAAGCUCCAGUGCAUAGCGGACGGCUAAAGCAUGUUGAUAAUGUGAGGAGAGGUCGUGGUAGACCAAACUUGACAUGGGAGGAGUCCGUAAAGAGAGACCUGAAGGACUGGAGUAUCACCAAGAACAAGCCGUGCGUGGAAGCUAGCUAUCCAUGUGCUCUACCAUGA
rnacentral:rRNA from 1 species